AAAAAAUCCAUCCUAUUGCAUUUGCUUAGAAAGAACCUGGGGCUGGGCAGUCGGCCUGGCUCUGUCACUGUGUGAUUUUAAAAGACAUUUAAUGUUUCCAAGCUACUGAGUGCAACAGGUUUCUCACUGAGCUUGAUUUUGCACCCCUCCAGCCCACCCUCUAUCUACAAUGCUGCCAGCACUGACUCUAAAAUGCACAUGACUCCACCUCCACUCCCACCCCACUGACUCCAUUACCUGUAGCAAAAAAUAAAAGAAAAUCUAAACUCUUCUCUAUGACAUUUGAAGCCUUUAAAAUCUGGUCCCAGGCUACAUUUUUAAUCUCAUCUCAUACUCUCCAGCUCACUGAGCCCCUUUCCCUAUUGUCCUGAGUCCGUAUCUGCCUCUGGACAGCCAUGAGCUCCACUGGGAAGGACAGUGGCUUGGCCACCCCAGCUGUGUUCUUCCCCCAGUACCCUUUCCAGUUCCUGGCACAGAGGCUCAGUAAAGGUUUGAUGCCUGAAUAACCAACUAAAUGGGCAAUCAUGUAAAUCAAGGAAGGCCCAUGGACUGGACAACUCCUAAAUUCCCUUCCAGCACUAACUUCUGAGUAAUGUUCCCCAGGGCAGAGCUCAAAACUGCUUAGGACUUGACCUAGUUCAUACUGUUACUGCAGUUU
rnacentral:lncRNA from 10 species